rnacentral:rRNA from 1 species
GGGAUUGCCUCAGUAACGGCGAGUGAAGCGGCAAAAGCUCAAAUUUUAAAGCUGGCAUCUUCGGUGUCCGCGUUGUAAUUUUGUGAGGCAUCUCCGGGUAGGGCGCCGGCCUAAGUUCCUUGGAACAGGACGUCACAGAGGGUGAGAAUCCCGUGCUUGGCUGGCUGUCCCCGUCCAUGUGAGGUGUCUUCGACGAGUCGAGUUGUUUGGGAAUGCAGCUCAAAAUGGGUGGUAAAUUUCAUCUAAAGCUAAAUAUUGGUGGGAGACCGAUAGCGCACAAGUAGAGUGAUCGAAAGAUGAAAAGCACUUUGAAAAUAGAGUUAAAAAGUACGUGAAAUUGUUGAAAGGGAAGCGCUUGAGACCAGACUUCGGUAGGGGGUGAUCAGCCGUGCUUCGGUGCGGUGCACUUGUUCCUCUCUGGGCCAGCAUCGGUUGAGGCGGCGGGAUAAAGGUCCCGGGAAUGUGGCUCCUUCACGGGAGUGUUAUAGCCCGGGUGAAUGCCGCCAGCUUCGACCGAGGACCGCGCCCGCAAGGGUUAGGAUGCUUGGCAUAAUGGUCUUCAGCGACCCGUCUUGAAACACGGACCAAGGAGUCUAACAUCUAUGCGAGUGUUUGGGUGUCAAACCCUUGCGCGAAAUAAAAGUGAACGGAGGUGGGAACCCGCAAGGGCGCACCAUCGACCGGUCCUGAAGUCUUCUGAAGGAUCUGAGUAGGAGCAUAGCUGUUGGGACCCGAAAGAUGGUGAACUAUGCCUGAAUAGGGUGAAGCCAGAGGAAACUCUUGGUGGAGGCUCGCAGCGGUUCUGACGUGCAAAUCGAUCGUCAAAUUUGGGUAUAGGGGGCGAAAGACUAAUCGAACCAUCUAGUAGCUGGUCCUGCACCACCCCCCCCCGGAAAAAAAAAAAAAA